rnacentral:tRNA from 2 species
UAGGGUGUGGCCAAGUGGUAAGGCACCAGGUUUUGGUCCUGGCAUUCGGGGGUUCGAAUCCCUCCACCCUAGCCA